GCUCGGCCAACCUAACCAUUGAUCUAAAGAAUGCAACAAGAUAGUCAUAUGAUGAAUGAUAAUUUCAAUACCCAAUAGAUACCAAGCAUGUGGCACCUCCAAUGCCUAUUUAGGAUAUUGGAUGCAUUAUCAUGUACCUUAAUAAGAGGCUACUAGUUAUCCCCAUAACUAGCCCUACAAGUCAUAAAUUCUCUUACUGACUUUAUCAAGUUAUAUAAAGGACUAGAGACUAGCUGGUCCAAUCGACAAGUCGUAAAUCUUUUCACUAACUUCACUAAGUCAUAAGAAGGACUAGAGAUAAAUCGAUCCAGAGCACCUAAAUCAAUCAUACUGAUUAACCUUAACGAUGUAGAUCAACUCGAGUCACUAG
rnacentral:lncRNA from 1 species